UUGGCCACAUUGUUGUUUUUUUUUAAUGUUGUUUUUAUAUUGGAUGUGAGCGGACGUGCGGAUGUUGCGGAUUUUUGUGUUCGUAAAUUUAUAAAAUUGAUUGUGUAUGGAUCGUCUGUUCAUCGAUUUAAUGAGGUCUUGGACGUAAUCUGCCGGGAUAUUUUUGCCACUCCUCCAAGAUAGUUGCCUCGAGGUCAUUUUUGUUUGUCGUUGUGGAUGUCUGUCUGUUCGUUUAACAGUUCAAAGAGGAGACAAGCAAAAAGAACGAGCUCUAGUCGCAAAAGAAUACAGACAAAAAUCGCAAAACUUCCUUUUUUUUCAAGUGAACAAGAAGUAGAGA